GGGAAUGUGGCUUAGUGGUAGAGUACUUGUCUAGCAUGCAUGAAGCCCUGGGUUCGAUUCCUCAGUACCA
rnacentral:tRNA from 1 species